UGUUAGCGGCGGACGGGUGAGUAACACGUGGAUAACCUACCUAUAAGACUGGGAUAACUUCGGGAAACCGGAGCUAAUACCGGAUAAUAUUUUGAACCGCAUGGUUCAAAAGUGAAAGACGGUCUUGCUGUCACUUAUAGAUGGAUCCGCGCUGCAUUAGCUAGUUGGUAAGGUAACGGCUUACCAAGGCAACGAUGCAUAGCCGACCUGAGAGGGUGAUCGGCCACACUGGAACUGAGACACGGUCCAGACUCCUACGGGAGGCAGCAGUAGGGAAUCUUCCGCAAUGGGCGAAAGCCUGACGGAGCAACGCCGCGUGAGUGAUGAAGGUCUUCGGAUCGUAAAACUCUGUUAUUAGGGAAGAACAUAUGUGUAAGUAACUGUGCACAUCUUGACGGUACCUAAUCAGAAAGCCACGGCUAACUACGUGCCAGCAGCCGCGGUAAUACGUAGGUGGCAAGCGUUAUCCGGAAUUAUUGGGCGUAAAGCGCGCGUAGGCGGUUUUUUAAGUCUGAUGUGAAAGCCCACGGCUCAACCGUGGAGGGUCAUUGGAAACUGGAAAACUUGAGUGCAGAAGAGGAAAGUGGAAUUCCAUGUGUAGCGGUGAAAUGCGCAGAGAUAUGGAGGAACACCAGUGGCGAAGGCGACUUUCUGGUCUGUAACUGACGCUGAUGUGCGAAAGCGUGGGGAUCAAACAGGAUUAGAUACCCUGGUAGUCCACGCCGUAAACGAUGAGUGCUAAGUGUUAGGGGGUUUCCGCCCCUUAGUGCUGCAGCUAACGCAUUAAGCACUCCGCCUGGGGAGUACGACCGCAAGGUUGAAACUCAAAGGAAUUGACGGGGACCCGCACAAGCGGUGGAGCAUGUGGUUUAAUUCGAAGCAACGCGAAGAACCUUACCAAAUCUUGACAUCCUUUGACAACUCUAGAGAUAGAGCCUUCCCCUUCGGGGGACAAAGUGACAGGUGGUGCAUGGUUGUCGUCAGCUCGUGUCGUGAGAUGUUGGGUUAAGUCCCGCAACGAGCGCAACCCUUAAGCUUAGUUGCCAUCAUUAAGUUGGGCACUCUAAGUUGACUGCCGGUGACAAACCGGAGGAAGGUGGGGAUGACGUCAAAUCAUCAUGCCCCUUAUGAUUUGGGCUACACACGUGCUACAAUGGACAAUACAAAGGGCAGCGAAACCGCGAGGUCAAGCAAAUCCCAUAAAGUUGUUCUCAGUUCGGAUUGUAGUCUGCAACUCGACUACAUGAAGCUGGAAUCGCUAGUAAUCGUAGAUCAGCAUGCUACGGUGAAUACGUUCCCGGGUCUUGUACACACCGCCCGUCACACCACGAGAGUUUGUAACACCCGAAGCCGGUGGAGUAACCUUUUAGGAG
rnacentral:rRNA from 1 species